rnacentral:rRNA from 1 species
GAGUUUGCUCCUGGCUCAGGACGAACGCUGGCGGCGUGCCUAACACAUGCAAGUCGAACGGAGAAUUAGCAAUAAUUCUUAGUGGCGAACGGGUGAGUAACGCGUAAAUAAUCUGCCCUUUAGCUGGGGACAACAGAUCGAAAGAUCUGCUAAUACCGAAUGUUGUUUAAGAAACGCAUGUUUCUUAAACUAAAGGUGGCCUCUGAAUAUGCUACCGCUAAAGGAUGAAUUUGCGUCUGAUUAGCUAGUUGGUGAGAUAAAAGCUCACCAAGGCAACGAUCAGUAGCCGGUCUGAGAGGAUGAACGGCCACACUGGGACUGAGACACGGCCCAGACUCCUACGGGAGGCAGCAGUGGGGAAUCUUCCGCAAUGGACGAAAGUCUGACGGAGCAACGCCGCGUGAGUGAUGAAGGUUUUCGGAUCGUAAAACUCUGUUGUUAAGGACGAAUGUAUAGAUUGUGAAUAAUGGUUUAUAAUGACGGUACUUAACGAGGAAGCCACGGCUAACUACGUGCCAGCAGCCGCGGUAAUACGUAGGUGGCAAGCGUUGUCCGGAAUUAUUGGGCGUAAAGGGAGCGCAGGUGGGAAUGUAAGUCAAUCUUAAAAGUGCGGGGCUCAACCCCGUGAUGGGAUAGAAACUACAUUUCUUGAGUGCAGGAGAGGAAAGUGGAAUUCCUAGUGUAGCGGUGAAAUGCGUAGAUAUUAGGAGGAACACCAGUGGCGAAGGCGACUUUCUGGACUGUUACUGACACUGAGGCUCGAAAGCUAGGGGAGCGAACGGGAUUAGAUACCCCGGUAGUCCUAGCCGUAAACGAUGGGUACUAGGUGUAGAGGGUAUCGACCCCUUCUGUGCCGGAGUUAACGCAAUAAGUACCCCGCCUGGGGAGUACGGCCGCAAGGUUGAAACUCAAGGAAUUGACGG